rnacentral:rRNA from 1 species
AACGAACGCUGGCGGCAUGCCUAACACAUGCAAGUCGAACGAGAUCUUCGGGUCUAGUGGCGCACGGGUGCGUAACGCGUGGGAAUCUGCCCUUUGGUUCGGAAUAACAGUUGGAAACGACUGCUAAUACCGGAUGAUGACGAAAGUCCAAAGUUUUAUCGCCAGAGGAUGAGCUCGCGUAGGAUUAGCUAGUUGGUGUGGUAAAGGCGAACCAAGGCGACGAUCCUUAGCUGGUCUGAGAGGAUGAGCAGCCACACUGGGACUGGGACCCGGGCCAGACUCCUACGGGAGGCAGCAGUGGGGAAUAUUGGACAGUGGGCGAAAGCCUGAGCGAGCAAUGCCGCGUGAGUGAUGAAUGCCUUAGGGUUGUAAAGCUCUUUUACCCGGGGUGGUAAUGACAGUACCGGGAGAAUAAGCUCCGGCUAACUCCGUGCCAGCCGCCGCCGUAA